rnacentral:tRNA from 4 species
GCCUGCUUGGCUCAGUUGGCAGAGCGUUGCUCUCGUAAAGCAAAGGUCGGGUGUUCGAUUCACCCAGUAGGCA